UGGGCGAAAGCCUGAUCCAGCCAUGCCGCGUGUGUGAAGAAGGUCUUCGGAUUGUAAAGCACUUUAAGUUGGGAGGAAGGGCAGUUACCUAAUACGUGAUUGUUUUGACGUUACCGACAGAAUAAGCACCGGCUAACUCUGUGCCAGCAGCCG
rnacentral:rRNA from 1 species